AAGUCGUAACAAGGUCUCCGUAGGUGAACCUGCGGAGGGAUCAUUACACAAAUAUGAAGGCGGGCUGGAACCUCUCGGGGUUACAGCCUUGCUGAAUUAUUCACCCUUGUCUUUUGCGUACUUCUUGUUUCCUUGGUGGGUUCGCCACCACUAGGACAAACAUAAACCUUUUGUAAUUGCAAUCAGCGUCAGUAACAAAUUAAUAAUUACAACUUUCAACAACGGAUCUCUUGGUUCUGGCAUCGAUGAAGAACGCAGCGAAAUGCGAUAAGUAGUGUGAAUUGCAGAAUUCAGUGAAUCAUCGAAUCUUUGAACGCACAUUGCGCCCUUUGGUAUUCCAAAGGGCAUGCCUGUUCGAGCGUCAUUUGUACCCUCAAGCUUUGCUUGGUGUUGGGCGUCUUGUCUCUAGCUUUGCUGGAGACUCGCCUUAAAGUAAUUGGCAGCCGGCCUACUGGUUUCGGAGCGCAGCACAAGUCGCACUCUCUAUCAGCAAAGGUCUAGCAUCCAUUAAGCCUUUUUUUCAACUUUUGACCUCGGAUCAGGUAGGGAUACCCGCUGAACUUAAGCAUAUCA
rnacentral:rRNA from 1 species